CCGGCACUGGAUUUAAGUAGCUGAAGGGGGGCCCUGAGGGUGGGGGACCUAAGGGUUCUAUAGUGUCAGGAAAACCAGUCUGUUUUCCUGACACUAUAUAGUGAUCCUUUAACUGUGUUGCUAUAUUGACCACACAUAGGCACAGCAUUGAAAAUGGAACUGACUGUUACACCUAAUUGCGCUGGGAGAGAGAACGUAAGGUUAGCAAAG